AAGCAUGUCAGUUCCUAACCGACCGGUGAAAGAAGAAACAUUUAUUUUUGAUUUCCCUUUUGUGGGUUGCUGUGUCUGUCUACCGAGUUUCUUUCUCUUCGGCGGGAGAAAAUUGAGACCGAUAUAUAAUACUACGACCAUGGAAGAGUUACAUAAAACGACAACAGGCUUGAAGAAAGCUUACGCGGAGAUAAUCCUAAACACGGCGAAGGAAUCGGCGGCUAGGGUUAUGCUUUCCGACAGAAAAUCAGCUCGGUUUCACCACGAUCUCUCCGAGACUAAAGAGGAAGCUCUUCGUUUGCUUGUCCGAUUGAAACAUAUGAUUGAUGCUAAGACGAUUGAAGCAGAUGUUAUAUCAUCAAACCAGCAACGGAAAAUUGAUGUGCUUGAAGCUCAGCUUCACGAGGCUGAAGAUAUUAUUACUGACCUUAGGUCUGAGGUUAGAUGGGUGAGAGAUAGAUUGGAGAAAGCUAAGGCUUUUGAGUCUCAGGAACUGGACCUUGUGAACAUGGAAGAAGAAGAAGAAGAAGAAGAAGAAGAAGAAGAAGACACGGUUUCUGUUCACAAGGCUGUUGUUGAAAGUUUGAAUCCUGAUCAAGAGCAUGAUGUUGACUGUGAAAAUGAUGAAAAGCAGUUUGACGGGUUAAGUGUGGUUAAUACUUUACACGCUUGUGAGCCGCAGGAGCUGAAUGUUGUGAGCGAGGAAGAAGUAGAAACGGUUUCUGUUCAUGAGAUUGAUCCAGAGGUUGUGCUUGAAAGUGUGAAACCUGAUCAGGUGGAUCGUGGCUCAUAUGAAAAUGAUGAGAGUUCGGAGAAAGCAAAGGCUUCUGAGUCGCAGGAAAGGAACCUUGUGAACAUGGAAGAAGAAAGGGUUUCUGCUCACAAGGUUGAACCAGAGGUUGUUGUUGAAAGUGUGAAUACUGAUCAUAGCUCAGCACAUGAUGUUGAAUGUGAAAAUGAUAUAAAUUUGGAGAAAGCAAAGGCUUCUGAGUCUCAGGAGCAGAACAUUGUGAACAAGGAAGAAGAAUCGGUUUCUGCUCACAAGGUUGUUGUUGAAAGCUUGAAACCUAAUCAAGAGGUUGCAGAUACGUGCUUCUCUCAUGAAAAUGAUUUUGACGGGUUAAGUGUUGUUGUUGAUACUAUGAUGGGAAACGAUGUAUGUGAGUCAGAGUUGGAUGGUGAUAUCAGAAUCAAAAAGCUUGAGCUGUCUAGGAAUGGUUGUACACAGAGGAUCCAUGCUUUGGAAAGGGUAGUUCUCGAGAGGCAGUCAUCUUCUUCCGCAGAUGAAGAAGGCACAACUGAGAAGGACAGUGAAGAGAACUUGAGCUCUUCUGGAAAAGCUGGCACUUUGGAAAACAAAAGAUGUCUUGUUCUUGCUCUUAGAGCUAGUAGUGCAGAGGUGGUAACAAUGCCAUCAUUAGGAUUCAAGAAAACCAGCAAGGCGCGCAAAUUAAGAGGAAGGAGAAAGAGAAGGUUUGGCAAACCAAAAGCCAAAUCGGUUAGGUCUCAAAGUCAGCUUAUAAAACCUUGUCAGUCUCAGUCUAAUGUUACCUCUUCCAAGACAUCAACUUCAGAUGGCGAAGAUUCCAUUGAGAGUGAGGAGGUGGAUGACCUUAAAACCUGUAAAGAGUUGAAAGAACAGUUGCAGCUAAAACGUACUCUAGAGAGUGGUGAUAUCAGUAUAGACCGUAAAGGAAAAAAGAGCAAGAAUAUGCAUGUGACUGGUAAUUUUGUGGAGGCAUGUCAAGAAUCUAAUUUAGUCUCCAUUAAUGUUGAGGAUGCUGAUUUAACGGAAAGCGAGACUAAGAUAAAGCCACUUCCUCGUUGGAGAUCAAGAAAAGAAGAUGCGUUAGUAGAUGUUUUGAUAAGUUGUGAAGGUGAAGAAGAUAGUGUGAUUCUAUCUACCAAGACGGCUUCUAGUUUGGUCAAUCUGCGUUCUGACUCGAAAGUUAGUUCAGUAGUAUCAGAUCAAAUCAGUGAGUCUCCUCCAAGAGCAAAUGUAAAUCGGCUUCUGAAGUACACAUUCCAAAGGAAACGAAAGAGAGGAUCUGCAAAUAUAAACGACGAUAGUAAUAACCUUCCAUGGAAACAACAUCAAGAAAACAAAGCUCAAGACCAAAUUGAAUCUACUUUGAGUAAAUGAACCAUCUAUAGGAAACCCACAACUAGCUGAGGUUGCCACACAUCUUAACUCCUUGUCUGAGAGGUGAUGAUGGUAGACUGGCUAAAUUCUUUGUGCAAGUGGAAACACCUGAGAACAUAUAGAUAAAUAUCAACUAAAAUGCUUAAGCUGAGAAAACAUUUUGCAAAACAGAGAGCGCAUGUGUUUGGGAAAGACGAGCAACCUUGGGGCCACACAAGUGUGAAAGAAUUAACAAGACAGAGCAGCAGCAGGCGUGUAAUGUGUUUUAAUUAUUGUUUUUGUUACUCAUAUUGCUAUUCAAUUUUUUUCUGGUAUAUUAUUCUUAAUUCAAUAUCACUAAAAUACAUGUAUAUUGUUUACA